rnacentral:rRNA from 1 species
GAUGAACGCUGGCGGCGUGCUUAACACAUGCAAGUCGAACGGAAAGGCCCUGCUUUUGUGGGGUGCUCGAGUGGCGAACGGGGGAGUAACACGUGUGUAACCUGCCCUUGACUUUGGGAUAACUUCAGGAAACUGGGGCUAAUACCGGAUAGGAGCUCCUGCUGCAUGGUGGGGGUUGGAAAGUUUCGGCGGUUGGGGAUGGACUCGCGGCUUAUCAGCUUGUUGGUGGGGUAGUGGCUUACCAAGGCUUUGACGGGUAGGCGGCCUGUGAGGGUGACCGGCCACAUUGGGACUGAGAUACGGCCCAGACUCCUACAGGAGGCAGCAGUGGGGAAUAUUGCACAAUGGGCGGAAGCCUGAUGCAGCAACGCCGCGUGCGGGAUGACGGCCUUCGGGUUGUAAACCGCUUUCGCCUGUGACGAAGCGUGAGUGACGGUAAUGAAUAAAGAAGCACCGGCUAACUACGUG